CAAAGUGUGUAGCGCCAUGGCUGGUACCCAGUUAGUGCCAAAUGGUGUUCCCUCGCACCCUUACCUCUUACCUGGAAAGCCAAACAGCCUCCCAGCCAUCUGUUUGCCUCCACUUUCUUUUUUCUUUUCCUUUCUUUUUCUUUUCUUGAGACAGAGUCUCACUCUGCCCCCUAAGCUGGAGUGCAGUGGUGUGAUCUCGGCUCACUGCA
rnacentral:lncRNA from 1 species